rnacentral:rRNA from 1 species
CGAAGAACCUUACCAGGUCUUGACAUCCUCUGACAACCCUAGAGAUAGGGCUUUCCCUUCGGGGACAGAGUGACAGGUGGUGCAUGGUUGUCGUCAGCUCGUGUCGUGAGAUGUUGGGUUAAGUCCCGCAACGAGCGCAACCCUUGAUCUUAGUUGCCAGCAUUCAGUUGGGCACUCUAAGGUGACUGCCGGUGACAAACCGGAGAAAGGUGGGGAUGACGUCAAAUCAUCAUGCCCCUUAUGACCUGGGCUACACACGUGCUACAAUGGACAGAACAAAGGGCUGCAAGACCGCAAGGUUUAGCCAAUCCCAUAAAUCUGUUCUCAGUUCGGAUCGCAGUCUGCAACUCGACUGCGUGAAGCUGGAAUCGCUAGUAAUCGCGGAUCAGCAUGCCGCGGUGAAUACGUUCCCGGGCCUUGUACACACCGCCCGUCACAC